rnacentral:rRNA from 1 species
UACGGAGGGUGCGAGCGUUGUCCGGAAUCACUGGGCGUAAAGGGCGCGUAGGCGGCCUGAUAAGUAGGGGGUGAAAUCCUGCGGCUUAACCGCAGGGCUGCCUUCUAAACUGUCAGGCUUGAGCACAGUAGAGGCAGGUGGAAUUCCCGGUGUAGCGGUGGAAUGCGCAGAUAUCGGGAGGAACACCGGUGGCGAAGGCGGGUCUCUGGGCAGUAACUGACGCUGAGGAGCGAAAGCGUGGGGAGCGAACAGG